rnacentral:rRNA from 1 species
AUUGAACGCUGGCGGCAGGCCUAACACAUGCACGUCGAACGAGUGGCGGACGGGUGUGUAAUGUCUGGGAAACUGUCUGAUGGAGGGAGAUAACUACUGGAAACGGUAGCUAAUACCGCAUACCAUCAGAUGUGCCCAGAUGGGAUGAGCUAGUAGGUGGGGUAACGGCUCACCUAGGCGACGAUCCCUAGCUGGUCUGAGAGGAUGACCAGCCAAACUGGAACUGAGACACGGUCCAGACUCCUACGGGAGGCAGCAGUGGGGAAUAUUGCACAAUGGGCGCAAGCCUGAUGCAGCCAUGCCGCGUGUAUGAAGAAGGCCUUCGGGUUGUAAAGUACUUUCAGCGGGGAGGCGUUACCCGCAGAAGAAGCACCGGCUAACUCCGUGCCAGCAGCCGCGGUAAUAC